UACGGAGGGUGCAAGCGUUAAUCGGAAUUACUGGGCGUAAAGCGCGCGUAGGUGGUUUGAUAAGCGAGAUGUGAAAGCCUCGGGCUUAACCUGAGAACGGCAUUUCGAACUGUCAGGCUAGAGUGUGGUAGAGGGUAGUGGAAUUUCCUGUGUAGCGGUGAAAUGCGUAGAUAUAGGAAGGAACACCAGUGGCGAAGGCGGCUACCUGGACCAACACUGACACUGAGGUGCGAAAGCGUGGGGAGCAAACAGG
rnacentral:rRNA from 1 species